AGAUAUAAUAUUUUCAACAAUUAUAUCCCAUAAUUUGUGUUCAACCUUGUAAUAUAUACAAUUUUUCUUUUUAAAGAGAAAAUAAUGAAAAUGAAUUCAAUAAUCGAAUAAUGAAAAGCAAAGUGUUUGUCGAGUGUGGUGCUCGAAACGAAAAGUUAGGUUAUUUGCGCUUUCUACGACGAACCGGUGCUUAUGCCAACAUCAUUUCACAGAAAUGUAACCUAAUGCCAGUUACAACGUUUGCAAAGAUUUGAUGAAAAAAUAAAAGUGAAGGAAUAAGUAACGUUUUAUUUCUGAACUUUAGAACUUAGUUGGGCCAAUAGCCAACAGUUGCUCCACCAUCGUUUUGAACAAAAGUGGGGAGAACUUUCACAUUGAGUCAUAAAUCAGGACUGGUAAGGAAAAUUGAAUUUGCGAUGGAGUCUCGCGUAUCAGGGAGAUGCAAAUUGAAACAGGCCUGGUAAUUUCCUAUAAAGAGGUGAAUCAAAAUGGCGCCCGACACCGCCAGCCACAAAUUGCGGCCUUCCUUUACAAAAAUUGCUACUAAUCGUGAACAUUUGUAACUACGCAUUAAAUCGUUAUUAAUCAAUCAAGUAUAAAAUGGAUGAAAGGGUGAUAUUUUCAUUGAAUUUCACUAUUUUUUAAAUU
rnacentral:lncRNA from 1 species